GAUGAACGCUGGCGGCGUGCCUAAUACAUGCAAGUCGAGCGAACAGACGAGGAGCUUGCUCCUCUGACGUUAGCGACGGACGGGUGAGUAACACGUGGAUAACCUACCUAUAAGACUGGGAUAACUUCGGGAAACCGGAUCUAAUACCGGAUAAUAUAUUGAACCGCAUGGUUCAAUAGUGAAAGACGGUUUUGCUGUCACUUAUAGAUGGAUCCGCGCCGCAUUAGCUAGUUGGUAAGGUAACGGCUUACCAAGGCAACGAUGCGUAGCCGACCUGAGAGGACGAUCGGCCACACUGGAACUGAGACACGGUCCAGACUCCUACGGGAGGCAGCAGUAGGGAAUCUUCCGCAAUGGGCGAAAGCUUGACGGAGCAACGCCGCGUGAGGGAUGAAGGUCUUCGGAUCGUAAAACGCUGUUAUUAGGGAAGAAAAAAUGUGUAAGUAAACACGCACGGCUUGACGGUACCGAAUCAGAAAGCAACGGCUAACUACGUG
rnacentral:rRNA from 1 species